AGAGUUUGAUCCUGGCUCAGGGUGAACGCUCGCGGCGUGGAUAAGGCAUGCAAGUCGUACGGGCUUGUGCCUUUUGGCACAAGUUACGUGGCAAACGGGGCAGUAACACGUGCCUAACCUACCCUGAGGGCGGGAAUAACCCCCGAAAGGGGACUAAUUCCCGAUAGUCCUAUUUCUACACAAGUAGAAAUAGGUAAAUGGCGUAAGCCACCUCAGGAAGGGGGCGCGGCCGAUCAGCUAGUUGGUGGGGUAAUGGCCCACCAAGGCUAAGACCGGUAGGAGGCCUGAGAGGGUGUUCUCCGCCAAGGGCACUGAGACACGGGCCCUACCCCUACGGGGGGCAGCAGCCGAGAAUCUUGGGCAAUGGGCGAAAGCCUGACCCAGCGACGCCGCGUGCCGGAAGAAGCCCUUCGGGUGUAACGGCUUGUGGGAGAUGAAGCCUGUUCUAUUUAGGCAGUUGACAGUAUCCCACGAAUAAGGGACGACUAACUUCGUGCAGCAGUCGCGGUAAGACGAAGUCCCAAGCGUUACCCGGAUUACUGGGUGUAAAGGACCACAGGCGGGGAAGCAAGUCUUCUUAAAUCCUAAGGCCCAACCUUAGGAAGAGGAAGAAUACUGCUUUCCUAGAGACUGCCAGAGGCCAGCGGAACGUGCGGUGUAGGGGUGAAAUCCGUUGAUAUCGCACGGAACGCCGAAGGCGAAGGCAGCUGGCUAGGGCAGUUCUGACGCUGAUUGGGUGAAAGCCAGGGGCGCGAACCGGAUUAGAUACCCGGGUAGUCCUGGCUGUAAACUAUGGGUGCUAACUCUGGGGAGAUUCGACCCUCUCCGGGGUAAAGCUAACGCGUUAAGCACCCCACCUGGGAAGUACGGCCGCAAGGCCGAAACUCAAAGGAAUAGGCGGAAGGCCGCACAAGCGGUGGACCAUGUGGUUCAAUUCGAUAGUAACCGAAAAACCUUACCCGGGCUGACAUGCUUGUCUUAUGCCUUUUCGAGAAGAGCGCACGCGCGGCAGCACAGUGCUGCAUGGUCGUCAGCUCGUGGUGUGAACCGUAACCUUAAGUGGCACAACGAGCGCAACCCCUGGCCCGUGUUACAAGUGUCACGGGCGACUGCCGGUUUCAAGCCGGAGGAAGGUGGGGAUGACGUCAGGUCCGCAUGGCCCUGAUGCCCGGGGCGACACACAUGGUACAAUGCCGGGUACAACGGGUUGCAAAGCCGCGAGGCUGAGCUAAUCCCUAAAAGCCCGGCCCAGUUCGGAUUGGAGGCUGAAACUCGCCUCCAUGAAGGCGGAAUCGCUAGUAAUCGCGGAUCAGCUAUGCCGCGGUGAAUACGUUCUCGGCCUUUGCACUCACUGCCCGUCAGGCCAGAGGAGUCAUCUCUACCUGAAAAUCCGCUUUAAGCGGAGAUAGGGUAGGGGUGAUGACUAGGGCUAAGUCGUAACAAGGUAACCA
rnacentral:rRNA from 1 species